rnacentral:rRNA from 1 species
UUAGCGGAAUAAGACUAUUGUGAGAAGGCAGGGGGGCUGGCCUUGAUCUAGGUGGUGGGGACUCGGAGGUAGCGGCGCGUUGGGGUGCGCGAGGAGGUGGAAGAAGGGGCAGCCCCGGUAGCACGGUGGUCUUGGUGGCGAGGGGGUGGAAGAAGAGACGGCCCCGGGGGCGCGGUGGUCUUUGGGGCGAGGGGUGGAAGAAGGACCGUGGCUGCGGCGGUCUAGAGAGCGCGGGGCCGGUGGCACCGAGGUUGGUGGCAGAGGGGCGAGACGGGGGGGACCGGUGGUCGUGAAGGAAGCACGUUGUUCCCAUCGGCUCGUGGCGUAGGCCGGCACCCAAGUGCUGCUCUUGGGUGGCCUAGGCCGGAGGGUCUACCGACGCCGGCACCCCGCAGCUCCAGUGGCACCGGGAGAGGAGGGGUCUAGGCCACUCGGGGAGUACCUGGAGAGGAGGGAUCUAGCACGCGGCUGCCACUGUAGGUUGCUCAGUCCCGCCUGGAGUAGGCCGAAGAAGGGGGCGGCCGCGGCGUCGACCGGCGUGGAGGAUCACGGGGAGCCCGACCAGAGGGCGGCGGGGACGGGCCGUAGUGGGUAAGGGGUGCGGGCCUAGGCGGUAAGCAGGAGCUAGACCUAGUUCAGCUGCUGCUCGGGAGAGGAGCACCGCCAGAGGCCGCUCUGGGAGUAGACGCGGUGGGCAUCCAUGAGCCCACGGUGGGGUGGUGCACGUCGAACCAGCGCCGGGGGCACGUCGAGCCAGCGCGGCGGCGGCGGCGGGGUCGCGACGUGGAGGGACUGGUCGCGGCAACGGCGGUGAGGUCGGAAUGCGGAGCGACGUUAGGCGGGAGGAGGUGCAGCUGGGGACCUAGACUGCUGGCUCGGCGGUGUGCUCAGUUUGUCCACUCGGCGAGGAGGCGGGGCGUCAGAGGCUAACGGUAAGAACGUUUAACGUUAGAAGGAGGUGGCCGCGAAACGUCCGUGGCGGCACUGGGAGAAGUAAGGGACUAGGUUGAAGGUUCCUCGUCGUCCCACAGUGGCUAUCGGAGGAGUAGAGGAGAAUGAGCUCGAGCCCGGCCGUGGAUCGAGCCGGUGUGCGGCUGCGAAGGGUUGGGAGGUGUGCACGGAGGGACGGUCGGAGCCUGGAAUGGAGCGGUGGUUGCCCGCGUCGUCGGGGGGACCAUAUGUCGUCGCCCAGGAGGGACCGGGGCUACCGUCGCUGUUACAGUUGUCAUCUGGGGGACACGUCAAGUGCGCUACGUGGGGACACCACGCCUCGAGUAGACGCACAGCAAACGAAGGGGGUAGCGUACGCACGUCACGCCAAGCAUACCACUACAUCGAGUGGCGAACCACGAGGUUACGUCAAUCUGACGGCCACCACAAGUGGUUAAAGCGGAGGGUGUGCUGGACGAGUGAAGUGUGUUCGCUGCACGCGUUCGUGGAGUGAUAGAUCUGGUUCACCUGAGUCUGACGUCUACCUUCACCUAAGUUCACCCUGAUUGAUCAGGUAGGGUGAAUUAAACGAAAUCACCUUAGGGUAACCUAUCCCUUUUUCAAUUAGCCCGAUAGGGUGAAUCGGGCAACCCUAGGGUAGAACGGGAUAAUUCGAUCGGUUGACGUGUCAUCUCGUGCCACGGUGUCGUACGAGGGCGGCGACGGCGGCUAACUACCGGCAGCGGCGACGACGUGGGGACAAAGAAGAAGGACCGUGGUCCGGCGUUCCUAAUCACCCGUCGAAGAACCGGUACCUUCGUUCUAGACCGCCUACAGCCCGACGUCCGUCCAGACGACUAACCAAUACCGGCGGUUCUCCUUGCAGUACACCACGAGGUACCAGCCAGCGGACCGGCACCUCCGCUGACGUCCAGGCUUCACGACCCGUUACAGUCCAGAGUUGAGAGUGUGUGUACUUCUUGUCUCCUCAGCACACAAAGACCGUCGAGAUUUGUACGACGUUAUAAAAGAAGAGAUGAAGAUAAAAGUUGUGGUUACCUUUCCCUCUCGAUCAGUGGCCUGAUGUAUACGAACGUGACGCCAGCAGCUACGACUGAACGUGGCAACGUGUCGCGCGUGUGUGUGAUAUCACCCGAGCACGUCACGAUUGAUUUUGCUUUCUUCGUUUUAAUGUCUCUUGUCUCCUCAUUCCCACUGUGACAUUACACCUGAGCCGUCUACCUACGAUUUGAUCACGCAUGACCUCAUAAUACAAAGUUAGAAGGUAAACGAUUUACCCUAGGGUGAACUCGGGUAUAUUAAAUACGUACAAAACUACCCCACAGCUCAAUGAGGGUGAUUUGUAUCACCCUAGUCCACCCAACCUCCACCCUGAGGGUACAUAACAGGGUGGACGUCGGACUUUCACCUGACUUCAAGUGUUUGUUUAUACUAACUUCAAGGGUUUUUUCGACAAUCUCUUUGAACAAUUUUUUCAUUCCACGAGCACUUCAAGUCAAAUAAUAAAGCUCUGUUUCACAUCAAAUGAACCAGUUGAACGGAACAGCUAAGUCUUAAACCGAAGGAACACACGCGGUCGGCUUCUUAAAUACAUACUAUAUGGAAAACAAGGUUAGGCUCGACUGGCGAUCUAAACACGAAGAAACAGAAACUAAAGACAAACAAAACGUCUUUGGCUACUUUUCCUAAGGACCCGAUCACGAGUAGUCAGAACCCACUGAUCAAAACGCGUGCAUCCUCACGUCGAACUGGUUGCCCUGCACGUUAAACCGGGUACCGCAGCUGCCAAAAGGCCACUUGAGCGCACACGUGCCCGUCAAGGGAACCUGAUACGUGUGCACCAGCAAAAAUACUCCCCAAGUGACACAUACAACCUCUCCAAGCGAGGAGGUACCCCCAGUAGAAAAAUCCAUCAAGUGAAGGACUUAACAAAAUUGUGAGAAAACAAAAACAAAUUUAGGCCAGAUCACGUCAAGCAAACAGUACAACCUAUACAAGUAAAAGUACUUUUUUUAUUUUCCAACUACGUCGGGUGAAGCUCCUCAGAACACCAAGUGGCGUAAGUUAUUCCUUCUUUGUCUCACAGAAAUAGUCUAUCUACACCGAAACUUCGAGUGAAACAACAGAGUACGUCAAACAAUAUUAUGAGGAGGCACCAAACGAACCAU